GCGUCUUUCUGGUCCCCAAAGUAGGAGUGGGGAAUUUGAGGAUACAGCGUAGAUGGAGGCAGGCAGUAAGGUCAGAAACAUGUAUUGUUUAUAAAACUCCAGCAAAAUGACACUGAGCUUGAAAGGCAGGCUUGAAAUUUACCCCAGAGGGUAUUUGUCAUCCUUCCCAGUGAAAGCAUAAUACGGAUUCCUAGAGAGGUUCAUAGCAAAAUGAAUAUUUCACCGACUACUAAUGCUGUCCCAAGAGCUUUUGCUGCUUCAGGUAAUUGUGCCACGCAACCACGCGUCCACAUUCCACACAAUAUUCCACAGAAUGCCUCUUAGGACAUGUUAUGAGAACACGCAGCUACAAUCACAACCAAUGACAUUUGCUGCCUGAGAAGGAACAAUAAAUAAUAGCUUAUACCCAGCCAAGAGAAAAUUCAUGGAUAUUUAAAGCUACACAAGUUACUUUGGCACACAAGACAGAAAAUCCCUCAAGCCCCUCCCUCCUUCCCUGGCAGGAAAAAUGUAAUAAUAAGAACAGCUAACAAUUGCUUCAAAAUUGACUCUAUGACAUGGCUGCCUCACUCCGACUAAUGUAGUGGUUCUCAACCUGUGGGUCCCCAGAUGUUUUUGGCCUUCAACUCCAAGAAAUCAUAACAGCUGGUAAACUAGCUGGGAUUUCUGGGAGUUGUAGGCCAAAAACAUCUGGAGACCCACAGGUUGAGAACCGCUGGAUUAAUGGGAGGGCAGGUCUGACGGAUAUAUUGCACAAUGGCAAAACUGCAGUGCUUCACAUUCCCAUCUAUUGCUAUAAUAUAAGGGAUGCCUCUCAGAUCAUGCAUUGAUUCAGUGGUAUGUCUACAAUAGCCCCCAUUUUUGUCACAGAAGGGUUACUUUUUGUAGCUUUUUUGAUCAUUCCUGCUGCUUCCCAAAUUCUGCGUGUCGACAUUCAUACACACGCACGUGGACAUUCACGUUUUCCCUACAAUGAAAACUUGAGAUUUAAGAUACCAAGCCUUCUUGGUACAAUUUCAGAAGAUGUUACGAAAGAAAUGAUCUUUCCUACAGAUAAAAAAUGUUAAAGCAAACUUUUAAACAAUCGCCUAAAAAGGUGUGUGGGGGGACUCAGUUAUUUUAUUUUAUUUUUUGGUAGAUUUUAAGUUUUUCCAUAGCAACAGGCUUCUGAAAGAGAAGAAGAGGGUGGGAUAGAAAAGCCAGAAAGAACAGAGAGAUGGAGCGCAGUGUGCUGGAUACUGUUUCCAUGGCAACCCAAUUACAUACGCAGCUAACUGCCAAAGUAAGUCAAGAUCCCAGUAAAAGGGUUGCAGGGGAGUAGAAGGAAGGAGUGGAUAAAGAAGCGGGAAGAAGUGUGAGAUCUGGUUUAGACAGACAAUUGAAUAUGUAUCUUUCUCUCCAUAUAGCAUGUUCUCAAAGGACAAUUAUGUUUUCCUUGCAAUGGUAGAUGAGCAUGCACAGAGUCUAUGGACUUAAAGCGACUCAAGACCCAAUGCAGUAUUCCUUGUGCUGAAUGAAAUUUGUUGGAAUAAAGCAGGAUAUAGAAUCAGCAAAGAAAACCAGUUUGGAUUACACAGACACAUUGCCUUCACACCCCGAAUGAUUCAAGAAUGAAGAUGCCAUUCAUAAUUGCAGGAAGCAAUACAAAAAUCUUAUUUUCUUAAAAAAACAGCUAUUUUAACUGAAUUUUAAAACUGUUUAGCUGCU